rnacentral:lncRNA from 1 species
AAAAUUUGCUUCUUUGGGUUUGUUGUUGAGCAAGUAAAUAAAAUUUGCUUCUUUGGAUUUGUUGUUGAGCAAGUAAAUACCUUUUUCCUGGAUCUUACUCUGCCAUCUAUAGUUUGUUUUUUCUUUUCAAAAUCAGGGGUGUUCAGAAAAUUAAUUGGCUGAGUUGUGAUAUUGAGAUGGAGAGGGAUUUCAUGGGUUUAAAUUCAAAAGAUUCUGUGAUUUGUUUAGGAAAUCACAGAGAAAAAACCGGAGAAGAAAUCGCCGGAGAAGAAGUCGCCGGUGUUGUCUCCUUCCUCCCUGUCGACGCUGUUUUUUCUCUCCUCCACCACCCCCAACCCUUCUCUCUCAGCCCAAAUUGUUAUCAUUGCACUGGAAUGGGCUUCUGGCCCGAGUUGAAGUUAAGGCCCGAAAUAACUCUUCUUCUACUCAAAAACAGACUCCACCCAGUUCCAGCAAGCAGUUGCAUGUUUUAGUUUGAUUCUUUAUUCAAUUAAUUACUGGUAAUUCAUUGCAAGAAUUGAUUUUUACUUUUAAUGGUAGCUGUUGAAAUUGUAUUAAUUUCAUAUGAUUGUAAGGCCCGAGAUGGACUAGUGUGAUGGAGGAAGUUGAAAUGGUUUGCUAGAUAUAUGAUCAGUUUGGAUUUUAUUUUUGUUUAAAUUUAGUUUAAUUAAUAUAAAAUGUUAUAUUACUUUUUUGCUCUUUAAAGUCAAUAAAAUAAUUUAAAGAUUAGCCUUGUUUUUAAACGUAAGCACUGUAUUACCACGUGGCCAUGCCACACCAGUAAUUUCUG